rnacentral:rRNA from 1 species
CCUCAUCCUGCUAAAUAGUUGCGUGAACCUCGGUUCAUAGCAGCUUCUUAGAGGGACUAGCCACUUUCGUGGCUGGAAGUUCGAGGCAAUAACAGGUCUGUGAUGCCCUUAGAUGUUCUGGGCCGCACGCGCGCUACACUGAUAAAGUCAGCGAGUUUUACCUUGACCGAUAGGUCUGGGUAAUCUUAUGAAACUUUAUCGUGAUGGGGAUAGAGCAUUGCAAUUAUUGCUCUUCAACGAGGAAUUCCUAGUAAGCGCUAGUCAUCAGCUAGCGUUGACUAAGUCCCUGCCCUUUGUACACACCGCCCGUCGCUACUACCGAUUGAAUGGCUUAGUGAGGCCCUCGGAUUGCUAUUUUGUUGCUGAAAGGCGGUGAGGUGGUGAGAAGUUGGACAAACUUGGUCGUUUAGAGGAAGUAUAAGUCG